rnacentral:rRNA from 1 species
GAUGAACGCUGGCGGCGUGUUUAACACAUGCAAGUCGAACGGUGAAACAGGAGCUUGCUCCUGCGGAUCAGUGGCGAACGGGUGAGUAACACGUGAGUAACCUGCCCUUGACUCUGGGAUAAGCGUUGGAAACGACGUCUAAUACCGGAUACGAGCUUCAGUCGCAUGGCUAGGAGCUGGAAAGAAUUUCGGUCAAGGAU